UAAAGAGAUGGACAUGGUCAGCAACAAUACUCAGGUAGGCUGUGGCGUUGCAACGAUGCUCAAUUGGUACCAAGGGGCCCAAAGAGUGCCAAGAAAAUAUUCCCCACACCAUGACACCACCACCACCAGCCUGAACCGUUGAUACAAGGCAGGAUGGAUCCAUGCUUUCAUGUUGUUGACGCCAAAUUCUGACCCUACCAUCCGAAUGUCGCAGCAGAAAUCGAGACUCAUCAGACCAGGCAACGUUUUUCCAAUCUUCUAUUGUCCAAUUUCGAUGAGCUUGUGCAAAUUGUAGCCUCAGUUUCCUGUUCUUAGCUGAAAGGAGUGGCACCCGGUGUGGUCUUCUGCUGCUGUAGCCCAUCUGCCUCAAAGUUCAACGUACUGUGCGUUCAGAGAUGCUCUUCUGCCUACCUUGGUUGUAACGGGUGGUUAUUUGAGUCACUGUUGCCUUUCUAUCAGCUCGAACCAGUCUGGCCAUUCUCCUCUGACCUCUGGCAUCAACAAGGCAUUUCCGCCCACAGAACUGCCGCUCACUGGAUAUUUUUUCUUUUUCGGACCAUUCUCUGUAAACCCUAGAGAUGGUUGUGCGUGAAAAUCCCAGUAGAUCAGCAGUUUCUGAAAUACUCAGACCAGCCCUUCUGGCACCAACAACCAUGCCACGUUCAAAGUCACUCAAAUCACCUUUCUUCCCCAUACUGAUGCUCGGUUUGAACUGCAGGAGAUUGUCUUGACCAUGUCUACAUGCCUAAAUGCACUAAGUUGCCGCCAUGUGAUUGGCUGAUUAGAAAUUAAGUGUUAACGAGCAGUUGGACAGGUAUACCUAAUAAAGUGGCCGGUGAGUGUAUUUCAUUAUAAGACUUAUUUGUACUAUUUUUAAAGAUGUUCGCAAUAUUAUGUUUUGACAAAAAAGCAAUGAUCCAUUUAUCUCACUAUCUGUGAUGUUUUUAGGACGAGGCUCCAGACUCACCUUUUUAACCGGGCUCUUCACUGAUGAUUUUUCUUAUUUCUCUUAUCGCUACUGUUCAUUUUAAUCAAAGUUCUUCAUGUUUAUUUCUCUUACUUUCAUUCUACAUUCUUGUCUUAGUCCAUCAAGUUUUACUCUUUUUGUACCAUUUUUAAUAUUUUUAUCUCCAGUGUUUCCCAAAUGUAGCUCUCCUCACCCAAUGUCUCAGUGUCAAGCCAUGUCUCUCUGACAAUAUGUCUUAAAUUUUUACUCUGUGUACGCUAGUGUGUGCGCUUGUGUGUGUAUGUGUGGGUGGGUGAGGGUGGGUGUGUGUCCUUGUGUGUGUGUGUGGGUCUAUGGGUAUGUGUGUGGGUGGGAGGGUCUGGUUUUAAUGUUGUUUUUAGCCUCUGUGAGGCACUUUGAACUACAUCUAUAUUUGAAAAAUGCCAUAUAAAUAAAGUUGAAUUUGAAUUUGUAUUUAUCGACCAGCUUCAGAUGAGCAGUAAUACCACUACCAUUGCGACCAUUGCAGAUGACAAACAGGUCAAACAGUCUUAAUGUAUCUCCUUCUAUUUUCACCAUUGUUAUCUGGCAUGACCCUUGUUAAAAAAAAUCAAUAACAAUACAUCACCUUUCCAGCAUGGAAAUGGAGGCGGCAGCUUUUCAGUUGUAGCUUUCAUGACCUUUGACCUCUUCAAACAAACAUACAACUUCCCCCUCUGUCAUUAAACCUAAACAUAUAUGGCUGAAAAAAUGAUAAAAUAAAAGUGGCAUCCAGAGUUUUUACUAUUUGUUUCUCCACAAACAACUCUGAUAAUGUUUACUUCUCCUCAAGAAAUAACUGACACUGGCUGAUUAACUGUUCUCUCUUUAUGACAGCACUAAUCUUGACCAAUGGGCAUCUAAUUUGAUUUUUAGCUCAAUCAGUAUUCUGACUUUGUGAGCCGUGGGGGCGGCUUUUAAUCAGA